UGCCCGCCGUACCCCCCGCUCGCCCCUGCGCGCUUCCCGGCAGCGGCGCGGCGGCCGCCGCCGCUCGGCACUCACGCACGGAGAGGCAAUUACAAUAAUUUAAAGCUUCCUGUCCGCCGGCUCCGCCGGGAUCCCGAGGGCUGAGCCAUGCCCGGGCAGGGCGCGGAGCAGCCGCUGCCCCGCCACACAGGCGCGGGCAUCGCGGCCGGACCGCCCCCGCCCGCCCCCAGCCCCGGCGGCGGCAGGAGCAGGAGCUGGAGCGGGAGGAGGAGGAGGAGGAGAAGGAGAAGGAGGAAAGGGGGGGCGUGACAAGUUCUGCCAAACUUCGGGAGGUGUGCGAGCGCCCGGGAGGAAGCCGGCCGAGCUGGGCUGACAGUCGGCCCCGCCGCUUCCCCCGCCCCGCCGGCGGCGCCCACCCCGCCCGCCCCCGGACCCGGCGGGGCGCCGAGUGCCGAACGCCCCCGGGGAGCAGCCGCGGCGAGGAACAAAGUUAAAACGGCGGCAGUCGCGCACCUACCCGCUGUCUGUCAUGUCUCCUCCGGGCGCGGGGUGCUAAGUGAGACACUGGCGGGGUGGGGAGAGCCAGAGGUGCGGGGAGGGACCGGGAGAUGGGUGUUUGGUGAGCUCUUCCUUUCUCUCCCCCCUCCUUCCCACCCCUUCCCCCUUCUCUCUCUCUGUCUCUCAAGGACGAGGUGAAAUCCCUUGGCUGGUCAUGAGGCGGCUUCAGAGACAAACAACACAAUGCGAGUGCAAAUAACAAAAGGGGAAAAAAAAAAAAAAAGGAGAGGGAGACCAGGAACAAUGGGGGAGGAGAGGCUCGCCGCGCCGCGCCUGGCCGCCGCCGGCACCCCGGCAGGCAGGAGGAGGAGGCGGAGGAGGAAGGCGAUAUGGUGACAGCGGGGAGGGGGCUGCGUGGGGAGUCCCCCCGGCGUGACGGGGCUGCCUCAGAUCAUCCCCGACCUCCUCCCCGCCGUCCGCCCCGCCGCGCACCGGGGCGGCCCUGCGUGGCGGCCACCGGAGCAGUUUGUACACGUGCUUUUGCGAAGCGCCGAAGCCGGCUGGACGGGGUUCGAGCCUGAGAGUGGGAAACGCAGAAAUCUGCACCCUGAGCCAAAUUGCUCAAAGAAGAGCAAGUUCGGUUAUUAUUCAUCUCCACGAGGGAAGUCUUAUCUUCUACAAAUAUUUGAUACUGGGACAAGUCCAAUAAUUAACAAGAACAAUCAAACAAUUUCACUGCCUUCUUGGGGAUUUAAAAAGUCAUCAUCUGGAAUUCAUGAACAUUACAACCUUUUUCUUUUUUUUUUCGCCGUGCUUGGAUAUUUUACUGUAUAUGAUCUUUUCAGUGUGUGUGUGUGUGUCCUUAAGUGAUUUUACCCUUUCAAGCAAAAAGAUGCAAACCAUUAACAGCGCAGAUAAUAUUCACAACUGCUGAUUCAGUGAGACUUCAGACCUCUCCGUAGGAGUGGUGAGAGAGGGUGGUAACUCUGACGGGAAAAGGAGAAAAAAAGAAAAGAGCUGGAGGAAUGUUUCUUUCUUGGCUUCCUCCCUACUUCUGUGGCAGGAACUCCCACGGGAGUCCUGUGGGUGGGAGGGGAGCAGGGCAGAUGGGAGCUCGGCCAGCUCGGUAUAGGUGCAAGCAUCAGCUCUGCCAGCCAGCCCCAUAACUCCUCACACCAGAGGAAAAGCCAGGCUGGGAGAGGAAUGGGGCUUCUGAGCUCUGCAGCAGCAUUUCUGGCACGGCGCAGACUUGGGGUGCCAGGGAGGCAGCGUGGCUUUCAGGACCUGCAGUGAGCCAAGAGGGACAGACAGGGAGUGGGCCAUGGCCCAACUGUAUCGAAAAACCCCGAACCAUAAGCCAACCUCAAACUUGCCUCUUCUGAAUUAAUUUCAGACUCUUGGGAAAGGUGGUAACGUUUCACCCUGCACUGUCCCAGUCACCAAAUUGUGCACGAGUUCUGGCACAAGCUGUCACAGUCCUCAGCCCCCACCUGCUCAUGCAAAUCCUGCUUCUGAUGGCUGCUGACCCUCCGUGCUGCGUAGGCAAUCAAAUAGUUCUGGCGUGAAGCUUUGCUCUAUCUCAGGUCAUCUCAGACCUGGGAACCUACAGCCAGACUCCCAUGGGUCAGGCUGACAGGCUCUGUCUGUCCUCCCCACAUCUUUCAGAACCCUUCUCUGUGCAUACCCUAACCACACCUUUUCUUUUCAUAAUCACUGCCCCCCCCCCCUUUACUACUUGUUUUAGGCCAACUCCUCCUCACAAUCAUGAUAAAGUUCCUUGCAGUUCAGCACAAGAAAGGAAUAAGGGUGGCUGGGUCCAAAACUAAUCUGGUGCAAGGAGAAAAAGCCAAAUGCGGGUGCAUUUUAUUUA
rnacentral:lncRNA from 1 species